rnacentral:lncRNA from 1 species
UAAUUGUUAUAUCCAUGAGAUGACAUAGAUUGAUUUCGAGUUGUCACUCUAAAAUUGGGGAUUAAUUAAUAUUUAGAUAAUUACUAAUUGAAUAGUGGUGGAUUCCGAAACUUUGGUAAUUUUUAUCUCAUUAAAUUCUCAUUUACUUUAAUUGUUUUCUUAGUUUAAUUAGUUUAAUUUCUCUUAAAACUCAAUUUGCUCAACUAGGUUAGAAUUAAUAUUAAUUUUAGAUUUAAAUUAGACUUUUCAAUUUAUAACAAUCCCUGUGGGAUCGACCUCGUUACCACUUUUCUAUCUCUAGAUUCGUGCGCUUGCGAAUAUAUUAAAAUUUUCACAACAGCAAUCAUUGAGAUUGCUGUGUUUGGGGAGUUACUGCUAGGUUGAUGAGUUGUUGAAGUUAUGAUGAUUUUCUGUGUUGAUUGAGUUCUUAGGUUAAUUUCAGUUUCUAGAUUCACUUGAAAAUUGCUUGCUGGUUAAUUUGCUUUGAAAAGUUGUUGUGAUGAUUGAACUAGUGGUUAAGUAGCAUCAAUGUUUCAUCUUAGCUUGUAAUUGUAAUUGUAAUUGAUUUUGCAUUUUGCAGUUGUUGUUAAUCAUUUGUAUUUUUGGGUUCAUUAACUUGCUGGACGUAAGUAUAGGUAUUCAUGUUGUGGAUUUGUGCACUUGCUGAACAUUAUUGGUAGCAGAAUUUGUUGGUUAAAUUUCUAUAUUGUUUAGUUUGCUAGGGAACAUUUUAUUACUUUAUUUACUACUUUAUAAAUGAUAAAUGAGAUGAAUGUUUGGAGUUCAUAAUCGGAUUCUCAAUUACUAUUGCCCAAUUUUAUCUUUUUAGCAA